UACGGAGGAGGCAAGCGUUAUCCGGAAUUAUUGGGCGUAAAGCGUCCGUAGGUGGCUCUUCAAGUCUGUCGUCAAAGACUGGGGCUUAACCCUGGAAAGGCGGUGGAAACUGUAGCGCUAGAGUGUGGUAGGGGUAGAGGGAAUUCCCGGUGUAGCGGUGAAAUGCGUAGAGAUCGGGAAGAACAUCGGUGGCGAAGGCGCUCUACUGGACCACAACUGACACUCAGGGACGAAAGCUAGGGGAGCGAAUGGG
rnacentral:rRNA from 1 species